AACAAAAACAUGUCCUUUAGUAAAUGAAUUGAAGGUCUGACCUGCCCACUGAAUUAUUUAAAUGGCCGCAGUAAUUUGACUGUGCAAAGGUAGCAUAAUCAUUAGUUUUUUAAUUAAAAGCUUGUAUGAAGGGUUGGACGAGGUAAAAUCUGUCUCUAUUUAAUUUAAUUUAGAAUUUAAUUUUUAAGUUAAAAAGCUUAAAUAUUAUUAAAAGACGAGAAGACCCUAUAGAUCUUUAUAUUAUUUAAAUUUAUUUUAAUUAAGAAUUUUUUAUUAAUAAGUUUAAAUAUUAUUUUAUUGGGGUAAUAAAAAGAUUAAAUAAAUUCUUUUUAAAUAUAAACAUUAAUUUAUGAAUAUAUGAUCCAAAUUUAUUGAUUAUAAGAUUAAGUUACCUUAGGGAUAACAGCGUAAUUUUUUUAGAGAGUUCAUAUCGAUAAAAAAGUUUGCGACCUCGAUGUUG
rnacentral:rRNA from 1 species